AUAACAAUUUGAAUCGCAUGAUUCAAAUUUAAAAGAUGGCUUCGGCUAUCACUUUGGGAUGGACCUGCGGCGCAUUAGCUUGUUGGUAGGGUAACGGCCUACCAAGGCUGUGAUGCGUAGCCGAGUUGAGAGACUGAUCGGCCACAAUGGAACUGAGACACGGUCCAUACUCCUACGGGAGGCAGCAGUAGGGAAUCUUCCACAAUGGGCGCAAGCCUGAUGGAGCAACACCGCGUGAGUGAAGAAGGGUUUCGGCUCGUAAAGCUCUGUUGUUAGAGAAGAACGUGCGUGAGAGUAACUGUUCACGCAGUGACGGUAUCUAACCAGAAAGUCACGGCUAACUACGUGCCAGCAGCCGCGGUAAUACGUAGGUGGCAAGCGUUAUCCGGAUUUAUUGGGCGUAAAGCGAGCGCAGGCGGUUUGAUAAGUCUGAUGUGAAAGCCUUUGGCUUAACCAAAGAAGUGCAUCGGAAACUGUCAGACUUGAGUGCAGAAGAGGACAGUGGAACUCCAUGUGUAGCGGUGGAAUGCGUAGAUAUAUGGAAGAACACCAGUGGCGAAGGCGGCUGUCUGGUCUGCAACUGACGCUGGGGCUCGAAAGCAUGGGUAGCGAACAGGAUUAGAUACCCUGGUAGUCCAUGCCGUAAACGAUGAGUGCUAGGUGUUGGAGGGUUUCCGCCCUUCAGUGCCGCAGCUAACGCAUUAAGCACUCCGCCUGGGGAGUACGACCGCAAGGUUGAAACUCAAAGGAAUUGACGGGGGCCCGCACAAGCGGUGGAGCAUGUGGUUUAAUUCGAAGCUACGCGAAGAACCUUACCAGGUCUUGACAUCUUGCGCCAACCCUAGAGAUAGGGCGUUUCCUUCGGGAACGCAAUGACAGGUGGUGCAUGGUCGUCGUCAGCUCGUGUCGUGAGAUGUUGGGUUAAGUCCCGCAACGAGCGCAACCCUUGUUACUAGUUGCCAGCAUUCAGUUGGGCACUCUAGUGAGACUGCCGGUGACAAACCGGAGGAAGGUGGGGACGACGUCAGAUCAUCAUGCCCCUUAUGACCUGGGCUACACACGUGCUACAAUGGACGGUACAACGAGUCGCGAACUCGCGAGGGCAAGCUAAUCUCUUAAAACCGUUCUCAGUUCGGACUGCAGGCUGCAACUCGCCUGCACGAAGUCGGAAUCGCUAGUAAUCGC
rnacentral:rRNA from 1 species